rnacentral:tRNA from 1 species
GCCUUCGUGGUGUAGUGGUCAGCACGUUCGAUGCGUAACCGAGAGGUCCGUGGUUCGAUUCCCGGCGAAAGCG